GUUUUUCGGUAAAUGGUUAAUAUACUGAAGCAUAUAAUAUUUAGUGUUGUUUUAAAAUUUAUAACUACAUUAUACAUUUGUAUUAAUGUAUUAUAAAGUAUAUUUCAUGGUACAUGGGAAUCGUUCUAUUUUUUAUCAAUUAUUUUAGUAAAAAUUCAUAUGCUCCCUAAAUCAAUUGACAAACCCCAAUAAAAUCGCUAUUCUAGAGAAACGGAGACAACAAUGGUUCCAAACCUCUCUAAACAUCAUCAUAUGUUAGUUCAUGAUGCACUUAUGCAUUAAAACAAUAUUUUUUUUUUUUAAAUUUUUCUCAAAAUUUAUGUGUAAACCCUUACAAAAUACUCAGUUUUUUGGUAAAUGGUUAAUAUACUGAAGCAUGUAAUCAUUAGUGUUAUUUUAAAAUUUCUAACCACAUUCUACAUUUGGAUUAAUGUAUUCUAAACUCUAUUUCAUAGUACACGGGCAUUGUUCUAUUUUUAUUAUUUAAUUUAGUAAAACUUCAUAUGCUCUCUAAAUCAGUGGACAAACCCCAAUAAAAUCGCUAUUCUAGAGAAACGAAGACAACAAAGGUUCCAAACCUCUCUAACUAUCAUAAUAUGUUAGUUCAUGAUACAAAUAUUCAUUAAAACGAUAUUUUCAUUUUUUUGAAUUUUUUUCAGAAUUUGUGUGUUAACCCCUACAAAAUAUUCAAUUUUUCGGUAAAUGGUUAAUAUAGUGAAGCAUAUAAUAUCUAGUGUUAUUUUAAAAUUUCUAACCACAUUAUACAUUUGUAUUAAUGUAUUCUAAACUCUAUUUCACGGUACAUGGGCAUCUUUCUAUUUUUUAUCAAUUAAUUUAGUGAAACUUCAUAAGCUCCCUAAACUAGUAGACAAAACCCCCCCCAAUAAAAUCGCUAUUCUAGAGAAACGGAGACAACAAAGGUUCCAAAACCUCUAACCAUCAUUAUAUGUUAGUUUAUGAUACAAAUAUGCAUAAAAACAAAAUUUUCAUUUCUUUUGAAUUUUUCUCAAAAUUUGUGUGUUAACCCCUACAGAAUAUUCAGUUUUUCGGUAAAGGGUUAAUAUACCAAAGCAUAUAAUCUUCAGUGUUGUUUUAAAAUUUCUAACCAUAUUCUACAUUUAUAUUAAUUUAUUCUAAACUCUCUGUCAUGCUACAUGGACAUUAUUCUAUUUUUCAUCAAUUAAUUUAGUAAAACUUCAUAUGUUCCUAAAUUACUGUACAAACCCCAAUAAAAACGCUACUCUAGAGAAACGGAGACAACAAAGGUUCCAAACCUCUCUAACCAUAAUCAUAUGUUAGUUCAUGAUACAAAUAUGCAUUAAAACCAUAAUUUUAUUUUUUCAUUUUUUUCUCAAAAUUUGUGUGUUAACCCCUACAAAAUAUUCAAUUUUACGGUAAAUGGUUAAUAUACUGAAGCAUAUAAUCUUUAGUGUUCUUUUAAAAUUUCUAACCACAUUAUACAUUUGUAUUAAUGUAUUCUAAACUCUAUUUCAAAGUACAUGGGCAUCAUUCUAUUUUUUAUCAAUUAAUUUAGUAAAACUUCAUAAGUUCCCUAAACCAAUGGACAAAACCCCCCAAUAAAAUUUCUAUCCUAGAGAAACGGAGACAACAAAGGUUUCAAACCUUUCAAACCAUCAUCAUAUGUUAGUUCAUGAUAAAAGUAUGUAUUAAAAUAAUAUUUAGUUUUUUUGAAUUUUUCUCAAAAUUUGUGUGUUAACCCCUACAGAAUAUUCAGUUUUUCGGUAAAGGGUUAAUAUACCAAAGCAUAUAAUCUUCAGUGUUGUUUUUAAAUUUCUAACCAUAUUCUACAUUUAUAUUAAUGUAUUCUAAACUCUAUGUCAUGCUACAUGGACAUCAUUCUAUUUUUCAUCAAUUAAUUUAGUAAAACUUCAUAAGUUCCUAAAUUACUGUACAAACCCCAAUAAAAACGCUACUCUAGAGAAACGGAGACAACAAAGGUUCCUAACCUCUUUAACCAUAAUCAUAUGUUAGUUCAUGAUACAAAUAUGCAUUAUAACAAUAUUUUCAUUUUUUCAUUUUUUUCUCAAAAUUUAUGUGUUAACCCCUACAAAAUAUUCAAUUUUUCAGUAAAUGGUUAAUAUACUGAAGCAUAUAAUCUUUAGUGGUAUUUUAAAAUUUCUAACCACAUUAUACAUUUGUAUUAAUAUAUUCUAAACUCUAUUUCAAAGUACACGGACAUCGUUCUAUUUUUUAAUCAAUUAAUUUAGUAAAACUUCAUAAGCUCCCUAAACCAAUGGACAAAACCCCCCUAUAAAAUUGCUAUGCUAGAGAAAUGGAGACAACAAAGGUUCCAAACCUUUCAAACCAUCAUUAUAUGUUAGUUCAUGAUAAAAGUAUGUAUUAAAAUAAUAUUUAAUUUUUUUGAAUUUUUCUCAAAAUUUGUGUGUUAACCACUACAAAAUAUUCAGUUUUUCGGCAAAUGGUUAAUAUACCGAAGCAUGUAAUCUUUAGUGUUGUUUAAAAUUUCUAACCACAUUCUACAUUUGGAUUAAUGUAUUCUAAACUCUAUUUCAGGGUACAUGGGCAUUGUUCUAUUUUUUAUCAAUUAAUUUGGUAAAACUUUAGAUGCUCCCUAAAUGAGUGGACAAACCUCAAUAAAAUCGCUAUUCUAGAGAAACAAAGACAACAAAGGUUCAAAACCUCUAUAACUAUCAUCAUAUGUUGGUUCUUGAUACAAAUUUGCAUUAAAACGAUAUUUUUAUUUUUUUGAAUUUUUCUCAAAAUUUUUGUGUUAACCCCUACAAAAUAUUCAAUUUUUCGGUAAAUGGUUAAUAUAGUGAAGCAUAUAAUCUUUUGUGUUCUUUUAAAAUUUCUAACCACAUUAUACAUUUGUAUUAAUGUAUUCAAAACUCUAUUUCAUGGUACAUGGGGAUCGUUCUAUUUUUUAUCAAUUAAUUUAGUAAAACUUCAUAAGCUCCCUACACUAGUAGACAAAACCCCCCAAUAAAAUCGUUAUUCUAGAGAAACGGAGACAACAAAGGUUCCAAACCUCUCUAACCAUCAUCAUAUAUUAGUUCAUGAUACAAAUAUACAUAAAAACAAAAUUUUCAUUUUUUUUUUAAUUUGUUUCAAAAUUUGUGUGUUAACCCCUACAGAAUAUUCAUUUUUUCGGUAAAGGGUUAAUAUACCAAAGCAUAUAAUCUUCAGUGUUGUUUUAAAAUUUCUAACCACAUUCUACAUUUAUACUAAUGUAUUCUAAACUCUAUGUCAUGCUACAUGGGCAUCAUUCUAUUUUUUAUGAAUUAAUUUAGUAAAACUUCAUAUGUUCCUAAAUUACUAUACAAACUCCAAUAAAAACGCUAUUCUAGAGAAACGGAGAAAACAAAGGUUCCAAACCUUUAUAACCAUCAUCAUAUGUUAGUUCAUGAUACAAAUAUGCAUUAAAGCAAUAUUUUCAUUUUUUUUUUCUCAAAAUUUGUGUGUUAACCCCUACAAAAUAUUCAGUUUUUCAGUAAAUGGUUAAUAUACUGAAGCAUAUAAUAUUUAGUGUUGUUUUAAAAUUUCUAACCACAUUAUACAUUUGUAUUAAUGUAUUAUAAAGUCUAUUUCAGAUAUAUGGGAAUCGUUCUAUUUUUUAUCAAUUAUUUUAGUAAAAAUUCAUAUGCUCCCUAAAUCAAUUGACAAACCCCAAUAAAAUCGCUAUUCUAGAGAAACGGAGACAACAAUGGUUCCAAACCUCUAUAAACAUCAUCAUAUGUUAGUUCAUGAUACACUUAUGCAUUAAAACAAUAUUUUUAUUUUUUUGAAUUUUUCUCAAAAUUUAUGUGUAAACCCUUACAAAAUACUUAGUUUUUUGGUAAAUGGUUAAUAUACUGAAGCAUGUAAUCAUUAGUGUUAUUUUAAAAUUUCUAACCAUAUUCUACAUUUGGAUUAAUGUAUUCUAAACUCUAUUUCAUGGUACAUGGGCAUUGUGCUAUUUUUUAUUAUUUAAUUUAGUAAAACUUCAUAUGCUCUCUAAAUCAGUGGACAAACCCCAAUAAAAUCGCUAUUCUAGAGAAACGAAGACAACAAAGGUUCCAAACCUCUCUAACUAUCAUAAUAUGUUAGUUCAUGAUACAAAUAUGCAUUAAAACGAUAUUUUCAUUUUUUUGAAUUUUUUUCAGAAUUUGUGUGUUAACCCCUACAAAAUAUUCAAUUUUCGGUAAAUGGUUAAUAUAGUGAAGCAUAUAAUAUUUAGUGUUCUUUUAAAAUUUCUAACCACAUUAUAAAUUUGUAUUAUUGUAUUCUAAACUCUAUUUUACGGUACAUGGGCAUCGUUCUAUUUUUUAUCAAUUAAUUUAGUAAAACUUCAUAAGCUCCCUAAACUAGUAGACAAAACCCCCCAAUAAAAUCGCUAUUCUAGAGAAACGGAGAAAACAAAGGUUCCAAACCUCCCUAACCAUCAUUAUAUGUUAGUUUAUGAUACAAAUAUGCAUAAAAACAAAAUUUUCAUUUCUUUUGAAUUUUUCUCAAAAUUUGUGUGUUAACCCCUACAGAAUAUUCAGUUUUUCGGUGAAGGGUUAAUAUACCAAAGCAUAUAAUCUUCAGUGUUGUUUUAAAAUUUCUAACCAUAUUCUACAUUUGUAUUAAUGUAUUCUAAACUCUAUUUCACGGUACAUGGGCAUCGUUCAAUUUUUUAUCAAUUAAUUUAGUAAAACUUCAUAAGCUCCCUAAACUAGUAGACAAAACCCCCCAAUAAAAUCGCUAUUCUAGAGAAACGGAGACAACAAAGGUUCCAAACCUCUCUAACCAUCAUUAUAUGUUAGUUUAUGAUACAAAUAUGCAUAAAAACAAAAUUUUCAUUUCUUUUGAAUUUUUCUCAAAAUUUGUGUGUUAACCCCUACAGAAUAUUCAGUUUUUCGGUAAAUGGUUAAUAUACCAAAGCAUAUAAUCUUCAGUGUUGUUUUAAAAUUUCUAACCAUAUUCUACAUUUGUAUUAAUGUAUUAUAAACUCUAUUUCAUGGUACAUGCGCAUCAUUCUAUUUUUUAUCAAUUAAUUUAGUAAAACCUCAUAAGCUCCCUAAACUAGUACACAAAACCCCCCCCCAAUAAAAUCGCUAUUCUAGAGAAACAGACACAACAAAGGUUCCAAACCUCUCUAACCAUCAUUAUAUGUUAGUUCAUGAUACAAAUAUGCCUAAAAACAAAAUUUUCAUUUUUUUUUGAAUUUUUUUCAAAUUUGUGUAUUAACCCCUACAGAAUAUUCAGUUUUUCGGUAAAGGGUUAAUAUACCAAAGCAUAUAAUCUUCAGUGUUGUUUUAACAUUUCUAACCACAUUCUACAUUUAAAUUAAUGUAUUCUAAACUCUAUGUCAUGCUACAUGGGCAUCAUUCAAUUUUUUAUAAAUCAAUUUAGUAAAACUUCAUAUGUUCCUAAAUUACUAUACAAAGUCCAAUAAAAACGCUAUUCUAGAGAAACAGAGAAAACAAAGGUUCCAAAUUUCCUAACCAUAAUCAUAUGUUAGUUCAUGAUACAAAUAUGCAUUAAAACAAUAUUUUAAUUUUUUUCAUUUUUUCUCAAAAUUUGUGUGUUAACCCCUACAAAAUAUUCAAUUUUUUGGUAAAUGGUUAAUAUACUGAAGCAUAUAAUCUUUAGUGUUCUUUUAAAAUUUCUCACCACAUUAUAUAUUUGUAUUAAUGUAUUCUAAACUCUAUUUCAAGGUACAUGGGAAUCGUUUUAUUUUUUAUCAAUUAAUUUAGUAAAACUUCAUAAGCUCCCUAAACCAGUGGACAAAACCCCCCAAUAAAAUCGUUAUCCUAGAGAAACGGAGACAACAAAGGUUCCAAAUCUUUCUAACCAUCAUCAUAUCUUAGUUCAUGAUACAAAUAUGCAUUAAAGCAAUAUUUUCAUUUUUUUUUAAUUUUUCUCAAAAUUUGUGUGUUAACCCCUUCAAAAUAUUUAGUUUUUCGGUAAAUGGUUAAUAUACUGAAGCAUAUAAUAUUUAGUGUUGUUUUAAAAUUUAUAACUACAUUAUACAUUUGUAUUAAUGUAUUAUAAAGUAUAUUUCAUGGUACAUGGGAAUCGUUCUAUUUUUUAUCAAUUAUUUUAGUAAAAAUUCAUAUGCUCACUAAAUCAAUUGACAAACCCCAAUAAAAUCGCUAUUCUAGAGAAACGGAGACAACAAUGGUUCCAAACCUCUCUAAACAUCAUCGUAUGUUAGUUCAUGAUGCACUUAUGCAUUAAAACAAUAUUUUUAUUUUUUUAAUUUUUCUCAAAAUUUAUGUGUAAACCCUUACAAAAUACUCAGUUUUUUGGUAAAUGGUUAAUAUACUGAAGCAUGUAAUCAUUAGUGUUAUUUUAAAAUUUCUAACCACAUUCUACAUUUGGAUUAAUGUAUUCUAAACUCUAUUUCAUGGUACACGGGCAUUGUUCUAUUUUUUAUUAUUUAAUUUAGUAAAACUUUACAUGCUCUCUAAAUCAGUGGACAAACCCCAAUAAAAUCGCUAUUCUAGAGAAACGAAGACAACAAAGGUUCCAAACCUCUCUAACUAUCAUAAUAUGUUAGUUCAUGAUUCAAAUAUGCAUUAAAACGAUAUUUUCAUUUUUUUGAAUUUUUUUCAGAAUUUGUGUGUUAACCCCUACAAAAUAUUCAAUUUUUCGGUAAAUGGUUAAUAUAGUGAAGCAUAUAAUAUCUAGUGUUAUUUUAAAAUUUCUAACCACAUUAUACAUUUGUAUUAAUGUAUUCUAAACUCUAUUUCACGGUACAUGGGCAUCGUUCUAUUUUUUAUCAAUUAAUUUAGUGAAACUUCAUAAGCUCCCUAAACUAGUAGACAAAACCCCCCCAAUAAAAUCGCUAUUCUAGAGAAACGUAGACAACAAAGGUUCCAAAACCUCUAACCAUCAUUAUAUGUUAGUUUAUGAUACAAAUAUGCAUAAAAACAAAAUUUUCAUUUCUUUUGAAUUUUUCUCAAAAUUUGUGUGUUAACCCCUACAGAAUAUUCAGUUUUUCGGUAAAGGGUUAAUAUACCAAAGCAUAUAAUCUUCAGUGUUGUUUUAAAAUUUCUAACCAUAUUCUACAUUUAUAUUAAUUUAUUCUAAACUCUCUGUCAUGCUACAUGGACAUCAUUCUAUUUUUCAUCAAUUAAUUUAGUAAAACUUCAUAUGUUCCUAAAUUACUGUACAAACCCCAAUAAAAACGCUAGUCUAGAAAAACGGAGACAACAAAGGUUCCAAACCUCUCUAACCAUAAUCAUAUGUUAGUUCAUGAUACAAAUAUGCAUUAAAACCAUAAUUUUUUUUUUCAUUUUUUCUCAAAUUUGUGUGUUAACCCCUACAAAAUAUUCAAUUUUACGGUAAAUGGUUAAUAUACUGAAGCAUAUAAUCUUUAGUGUUCUUUUAAAAUUUCUAACCACAUUAUACAUUUGUAUUAAUGUAUUCUAAACUCUAUUUCAAAGUACAUGGGCAUCAUUCUAUUUUUUAUCAAUUAAUUUAGUAAAAAUUCAUAAGUUCCCUAAACCAAUGGACAAAACCCCCCAAUAAAAUUUCUAUCCUAGAGAAACGGAGACAACAAAGGUUUCAAACCAUCAUCAUAUGUUAGUUCAUGAUAAAAGUAUGUAUUAAAAUAAUAUUUAGUUUUUUUAAAUUUUUCUCAAAAUUUGUGUGUUAACCCCUACAGAAUAUUCAGUUUUUCGGUAAAGGGUUAAUAUACCAAAGCAUAUAAUCUUCAGUGUUGUUUUUAAAUUUCUAACCAUAUUCUACAUUUAUAUUAAUGUAUUCUAAACUCUAUGUCAUGCUACAUGGACAUCAUUCUAUUUUUCAUCAAUUAAUUUAGUAAAACUUCAUAUGUUCCUAAAUUACUGUACAAACCCCAAUAAAAACGCUACUCUAGAGAAACGGAGACAACAAAGGUUCCUAACCUCUUUAACCAUAAUCAUAUGUUAGUUCAUGAUACAAAUAUGCAUUAUAACAAUAUUUUCAUUUUUUCAUUUUUUUCUCAAAAUUUGUGUGUUAACCCCUUCAAAAUAUUCAAUUUUUCAGUAAAUGGUUAAUAUACUGAAGCAUAUAAUCUUUAGUGUUCUUUUAAAAUUUCUAACCACAUUAUACAUUUGUAUUAAUGUAUUCUAAACUCUAUUUCAAAGUACACGGACAUCGUUCUAUUUUUUAAUCAAUUAAUUUAGUAAAACUUCAUAAGCUCCCUAAACCAAUGGACAAAACCCCCCUAUAAAAUUGCUAUGCUAGAGAAAUGGAGACAACAAAGGUUCCAAACCUUUCAAACCAUCAUUAUAUGUUAGUUCAUGAUAAAAGUAUGCAUUAAAAUAAUAUUUAAUUUUUUUGAAUUUUUCUCAAAAUUUGUGUGUUAACCACUACAAAAUAUUCAGUUUUUCGGCAAAUGGUUAAUAUACCGAAGCAUGUAAUCUUUAGUGUUGUUUAAAAUUUCUAACCACAUUUUACAUUUGGAUUAAUGUAUUCUAAACUCUAUUUCAGGGUACAUGGGCAUUGUUCUAUUUUUUAUCAAUUAAUUUGGUAAAACUUUAGAUGCUCCCUAAAUGAGUGGACAAACCUCAAUAAAAUCGCUAUUCUAGAGAAACAAAGACAACAAAGGUUAAAAACCUCUAUAACUAUCAUCAUAUGUUGGUUCUUGAUACAAAUUUGCAUUAAAACGAUAUUUUUAUUUUUUUGAAUUUUUCUCAAAAUUUUUGUGUUAACCCCUAGAAAAUAUUCAAUUUUUCGGUAAAUGGUUAAUAUAGUGAAGCAUAUAAUCUUUUGUGUUCUUUUAAAAUUUCUAACCACAUUAUACAUUUGUAUUAAUGUAAUCAAAACUCUAUUUCAUGGUACAUGGGGAUCGUUCUAUUUUUUAUCAAUUAAUUUAGUAAAACUUCAUAAGCUCCCUAAACUAGUAGACAAAACCCCCCAAUAAAAUCGUUAUUUUAGAGAAACGGAGACAACAAAGGUUCCAAACCUCUCUAACCAUCAUCAUAUAUUAGUUCAUGAUACAAAUAUGCAUAAAAACAAAAUUUUCAUUUUUUUUUGAUUUGUUUCAAAAUUUGUGUGUUAACCCCUACAGAAUAUUCAUUUUGUCGGUAAAGGGUUAAUAUACCAAAGCAUAUAAUCUUCAGUGUUGUUUUAAAAUUUCUAACCACAUUCUACAUUUAUACUAAUGUAUUCUAAACUCUAUGUCAUGCUACAUGGGCAUCAUUCUAUUUUUUAUAAAUUAAUUUAGUAAAACUUCAUAUGUUCCUAAAUUACUAUACAAACUCCAAUAAAAACGCUAUUCUAGAGAAACGGAGACAACAAAGGUUCCAAACCUUUAUAACCAUCAUCAUAUUUUAGUUCAUGAUACAAAUAUGCAUUAAAGCAAUAUUUUCAUUUUUUUUUCUCAUAAUUUGUGUGUUAACCCCUACAAAAUAUUCAGUUUUUCGGUAAAUGGUUAAUAUAUUGAAGCAUAUAAUAUUUAGUGUUGUUUUAAAAUUUCUAACCACAUUAUACAUUUGUAUUAAUGUAUUAUAAAGUCUAUUUCAUGAUAUAUGGGAAUCGUUCUAUUUUUUAUCAAUUAUUUUAGUAAAAAUUCAUAUGCUCCCUAAAUCAAUUGACAAACCCCAAUAAAAUCGCUAUUCUAGAGAAACGGAGACAACAAUGGUUCCAAACCUCUAUAAACAUCAUCAUAUGUUAGUUCAUGAUACACUUAUGCAUUAAAACAAUAUUUUUAUUUUUUGAAUUUUUCUCAAAAUUUAUGUGUAAACCCUUACAAAAUACUUAGUUUUUUGGUAAAUGGUUAAUAUACUGAAGCAUGUAAUCAUUAGUGUUAUUUUAAAAUUUCUAACCAUAUUCUACAUUUGGAUUAAUGUAUUCUAAACUCUAUUUCAUGGUACAUGGGCAUUGUGCUAUUUUUUAUUAUUUAAUUUAGUAAAACUUCAUAUGCACUCUAAAUCAGUGGACAAACCCCAAUAAAAUCGCUAUUCUAGAGAAACGAAGACAACAAAGGUUCCAAACCUCUCUAACUAUCAUAAUAUGUUAUUUCAUGAUACAAAUAUGCAUUAAAACGAUAUUUUCAUUUUUUUGAAUUUUUUUCAGAAUUUGUGUGUUAACCCCUACAAAAUAUUCAAUUUUUUGGUAAAUGGUUAAUAUAGUGAAGCAUAUAAUAUUUAGUGUUCUUUUAAAAUUUCUAACCACAUUAUACAUUUGUAUUAAUGUAUUCUAAACUCUAUUUCACGGUACAUGGGCAUCGUUCUAUUUUUUAUCAAUUAAUUUAGUAAAACUUCAUAAGCUCCCUAAACUAUUAGACAAAACCCCCCAAUAAAAUCGCUAUUCUAGAGAAACGGAGACAACAAAGGUUCCAAACCUCUCUAACCAUCAUUAUAUGUUAGUUUAUGAUACAAAUAUGCAUAAAAACAAAAUUUUCAUUUCUUUUGAAUUUUUCUCAAAAUUUGUGUGUCAACCCCUACAGAAUAUUCAGUUUUUCGGUAAAGGGUUAAUAUACCAAAGCAUAUAAUCUUCAGUGUUGUUUUAAAAUUUCUAACCAUAUUCUACAUUUGUAUUAAUGUAUUCUAAACUCUAUUUCACGGUACAUGGGCAUCGUUCUAUUUUUUAUCAAUUAAUUUAGUAAAACUUCAUAGCUCCCUAAACUAGUAGACAAAACCCCCCAAUAAAAUCGCUAUUCUAGAGAAACGGAGACAACAAAGGUUCCAAACCUCUCUAACCAUCAUUAUAUGUUAGUUUAUGAUACAAAUAUGCAUAAAAACAAAAUUUUCAUUUCUUUUGAAUUUUUCUCAAAAUUUGUGUGUUAACCCCUACAGAAUAUUCAGUUUUUCGGUAAAGGGUUAAUAUACCAAAGCAUAUAAUCUUCAGUGUUGUUUUAAAAUUUCUAACCAUAUUCUACAUUUGUAUUAAUGUAUUAUAAACUCUAUUUCAUGGUACAUGCGCAUCAUUCUAUUUUUUAUCAAUUAAUUUAGUAAAACCUCAUAAGCUCCCUAAACUAGUACACAAAACCCCCCAAUAAAAUCGCUAUUCUAGAGAAACAGACACAACAAAGGUUCCAAACCUCUCUAACCAUCAUUAUAUGUUAAUUCAUGAUACAAAUAUGCCUAAAAACAAAAUUUUCAUUUUUUUUUUGAAUUUUUUUCAAAUUUGUAUGUUAACCCCUUCAGAAUAUUCAGUUUUUUGGUAAAGGGUUAAUAUACCAAAGCAUAUAAUCUUCAGUGUUGUUUUAACAUUUCUAACCACAUUCUACAUUUAUAUUAAUGUAUUCUAAACUCUGUGUCAUGCUACAUGGGCAUCAUUCUAUUUUUUAUGAAUCAAUUUAGUAAAACUUCAUAUGUUCCUAAAUUACUAUACAAAGUCCAAUAAAAACGCUAUUCUAGAGAAACAGAGAAAACAAAGGUUCCAAACUUCUCUAACCAUAAUCAUAUGUUAGUUCAUGAUACAAAUAUGCAUUAAAACAAUAUUUUAAUUUUUUCAUUUUUUUUCAAAAUUUGUGUGUUAACCCCUACAAAAUAUUCAAUUUUUUGGUAAAUGGUUAAUAUACUGAAGCAUAUAAUCUUUAGUGUUCUUUUAAAAUUUCUCACCACAUUAUAUAUUUGUAUUAAUGUAUUCUAAACUCUAUUUCAAGGUACAUGGGAAUCGUUUUAUUUUUUAUCAAUUAAUUUAGUAAAACUUCAUAAGCUCCCUAAACCAGUGGACAAAACCCCCCAAUAAAAUCGUUAUCCUAGAGAAACGGAGACAACAAAGGUUCCAAAUCUUUCUAACCAUCAUCAUAUCUUAGUUCAUGAUACAAAUAUGCAUUAAAGCAAUAUUUUCAUUUUUUUUAAUUUUUCUCAAAAUUUGUGUGUUAACCCCUUCAAAAUAUUCAGUUUUUCGGUAAAUGGUUAAUAUACUGAAGCAUAUAAUAUUUAGUGUUGUUUUAAAAUUUAUAACCACAUUAUACAUUUGUAUUAAUGUAUUAUAAAGUAUAUUUCAUGGUACAUGGAAAUCGUUCUAUUUUUUAUCAAUUAUUUUAGUAAAAAUUCAUAUGCUCCCUAAAUCAAUUGACGAACCCCAAUAAAAUCGCUAUUCUAGAGAAACGGAGACAACAAUGGUUCCAAACCUCUCUAAACAUCAUCAUAUGUUAGUUCAUGAUGCACUUAUGCAUUGAAACAAUAUUUUUAUUUUUUUAAUUUUUCUCAAAAUUUAUGUGUAAACCCUUACAAAAUACUCAGUUUUUUAGUAAAUGGUUAAUAUACUGAAGCAUGUAAUCAUUAGUGUUAUUUUAAAAUUUCUAACCACAUUCUACAUUUGGAUUAAUGUAUUCUAAACUCUAUUUCAUGGUACACGGGCAUUGUCUAUUUUUUAUUAUUUAAUUUAGUAAAACUUUAUAUGCUCUCUAAAUCAGUGGACAAACCCCAAUAAAAUCGCUAUUCUAGAGAAACGAAGACAACAAAGGUUCCAAACCUCUCUAACUAUCAUAAUAUGUUAGUUCAUGAUACAAAUAUGCAUUAAAACGAUAUUUUCAUUUUUUUGAAUUUUUUCAGAAUUUGUGUGUUAACCCCUACAAAAUAUUCAAUUUUUCGGUAAAUGGUUAAUAUAGUGAAGCAUAUAAUAUUUAGUGUUCUUUUAAAAUUUCUAACCACAUUAUACAUUUGUAUUAGUGUAUUCUAAACUCUAUUUCACGGUACAUGGGCAUCGUUCUAUUUUUUAUCAAUUAAUUUAGUGAAACUUCAUAAGCUCCCUAAACUAGUAGACAAAACCCCCCAAUAAAAUCGCUAUUCUAGAGAAACGGAGACAACAAAGGUUCCAAAACCUCUCUAACCAUCAUUAUAUGUUAGUUUAUGAUACAAAUAUGCAUAAAAACAAAAUUUUCAAUUCUUUUGAAUUUUUCUUAAAAUUUGUGUGUUAACCCCUACAGAAUAUUCAGUUUUUCGGUAAAGGGUUAAUAUACCAAAGCAUAUAAUCUUCAGUGUUGUUUUAAAAUUUCUAACCAUAUUCUACAUUUAUAUUAAUUUAUUCUAAACUCUCUGUCAUGCUACAUGGACAUCAUUAUAUUUUUCAUCAAUUAAUUUAGUAAAACUUCAUAUGUUCCUAAAUUACUGUACAAACCCCAAUAAAAACGCUACUCUAGAGAAACGGAGACAACAAAGGUUCCAAACCUCUGUAACCAUAAUCAUAUGUUAGUUCAUGAUACAAAUAUGCAUUUAAACAAUAUUUAUAUUUUUUCAUUUUUUUCUCAAAAUUUGUGUGUUGACCCCUACAAAAUAUUCAAUUUUUCGGUAAAUGGUUAAUAUACUGAAGCAUAUAAUCUUUAGUGUUCUUUUAAAAUUUCUAACCACAUUAUACAUUUGUAUUAAUGUAUUUUAAACUCUAUUUCAAAGUACAUGGGCAUCGUUCUAUUUUUUAUCAAUUAAUUUAGUAAAACUUCAUAAGCUCCCAAAACUAACGGACAAAACCCCCCAGUAAAAUUGCUAUCCUAGAGAAACGGAGACAGCAAAGGUUUCAAACCUUCCAAACCAUCAUCAUAUGUUAGUUCAUGAUAAAAGUAUGCAUUAAAAUAAUAUUUAGUUUUUUUGAAUUUUUCUCAAAAUUUGUGUGUUAACCCCUACAAAAUAUUUAGUUUUUCGGUAAAUGGUUAAUAUACCGAAGUAUGUAAUCUUUAGUGUUGUUUUAAAAUUUCUAACCAUAUUCUACAUUUGGAUUUAUGUAUUAUAAACUCUAUUUCAUGGUACAUGGGCAUUGUUCUAUUUUUUAUCAAUUAAUUUAGUAAAACUUCAUAUGCUCCCUAAAUCAGUGGACAAACCCCAAUAAAAUCGCUAUUCUAGAGAAACGAAGAAAAAAAAAAUUCCAAACCUCUCUAACUAUCAUCAUAUGUUAGUUCAUGAUACAAAUAUGCAUUAAAAUGAUAUUUUCAUUUUUUUGAAUUUUUCUCAAAAUUUGUGUGUUAACCCCUACAAAUAUGCCUAAAAACAAAAUUUUCAUUUUUGUUUUGAAUUUUUUUCAAAUUUGUGUGUUAACCCCUACAAAAUAUUCAGUUUUUCAGUAAAGGGUUAAUAUACCAAAGCAUAUAAUCUUUAGUGUUGUUUUAAAAUUUCUAACCACAUUCUACAUUUAUAUUAAUGUAUUCUAAACUCUAUGUCAUGCUACAUGGGCAUCAUUCUAUUUUUUAUGAAUUAAUUUAGUAAAACUUCAUAUGUUCCUAAAUUACUAUACAAACCCCAAUAAAAACGUUAUUCUAGAGAAACGGAGAAAACAAAGGUUCCAAACCUUUCUAACCAUAAUCAUAUGUUAGUUCAUGAUAAAAAUAUGCAUUAAAACAAUAUUUUAAUUUUUUUCAUUUUUUCUCAAAAUUUGUGUGUUAACCCCUACAAAAUAUUCAAUUUUUUGGUAAAUGGUUAAUAUACUGAAGCAUAUAAUUUUUAGUGUUCUUUUAAAAUUUCUAACCACAUUAUAUAUUUGUAUUAAUGUAUUCUAAACUCUAUUUCAAGGUACAUGGGAAUCGUUUUAUUUUUUAUCAAUUAAUUUAGUAAAACUUCAUAAGCUCUCUAAACCAGUGGACAAACCCCCCCCCCCCCCCCCCCCAUAAAAUCGUUAUACUAGAGAAACGGAGACAACAAAGGUUCCAAACCUUUCUAACCAUCACCAUAUGUUAGUUCAUGAUACAAAUAUGCAUUAAAGCAAUAUUUUCAUUUUUUUAAUAUUUUUCUCAAAAUUUGUGUGUUAACCCCUACAAAAUAUUCAGUUUUUCGGUAAAUGGUUAAUAUACUGAAGCAUAGAAUAUUUAGUGUUGUUUUAAAAUUUCUAACCACAUUAUACAUUUGUAUUAAUGUAUUAUAAAGUCUAUUUCAUGGUACAUGGGAAUCGUUCUAUUUUUUAUCAAUUAAUUUAGUAAAAGUUUAUAUGCUCCCUAAAUCAAUUGACAAACCCAAUAAAAUCGCUAUUCUAGAGAAACGGAGACAACAAUGGUUCCAAACCUCUCUAAACAUCAUCA
rnacentral:lncRNA from 1 species